rnacentral:rRNA from 1 species
UACGGGGGGGGUAAGCGUUGUUCGGAAUUACUGGGCGUAAAGAGCGCGCAGGCGGUCGUUCAAGUCGCGUGUGAAAGCCCCCGGCUCAACUGGGGAGGGUCACGCGAUACUGAUCGACUCGAAGGCAGGAGAGGGAAGUGGAAUUCCCGGUGUAGUGGUGAAAUGCGUAGAUAUCGGGAGGAACACCAGUGGCGAAGGCGACUUCCUGGCCUGUUCUUGACGCUGAGGCGCGAAAGCUAGGGGAGCAAACGGG